UGGGGUAUAGCCAAGCGGUAAGGCACCGGAUUCUGAUUCCGGCAUUCCGAGGUUCGAAUCCUCGUACCCCAGCCA
rnacentral:tRNA from 6 species